CCUACGGGGGGCAGCAGUGGGGAAUAUUGCACAAUGGGCGCAAGCCUGACGCAGCCAUGCCGCGUGUGUGAAGAAGGCCUUCGGGUUGUAAAGCACUUUCAGCGGGGAGGAAGGCGGUGAGGUUAAUAACCUCAUCGAUUGACGUUACCCGCAGAAGAAGCACCGGCUAACUCCGUGCCAGCAGCCGCGGUAAUACGGAGGGUGCAAGCGUUAAUCGGAAUUACUGGGCGUAAAGCGCACGCAGGCGGUCUGUCAAGUCGGAUGUGAAAUCCCCGGGCUCAACCUGGGAACUGCAUUCGAAACUGGCAGGCUAGAGUCUUGUAGAGGGGGGUAGAAUUCCAGGUGUAGCGGUGAAAUGCGUAGAGAUCUGGAGGAAUACCGGUGGCGAAGGCGGCCCCCUGGACAAAGACUGACGCCCAGGUGCGAAAGCGUGGGGAGCAAACAGGAUUAGAUACCCGAGUAGUC
rnacentral:rRNA from 1 species